UAGGGAAUCUUCCACAAUGGGCGAAAGCCUGAUGGAGCAACGCCGCGUGUGUGAUGAAGGCUUUAGGGUCGUAAAGCACUGUUGUAUGGGAAGAAAUGCUAGAAUAGGGAAUGAUUCUAGUUCGACGGUACCAUACCAGAAAGGGACGGCUAAGUACGUGCCAGCAGCCGCGGUAAUACGUAUGUCCCGAGCGUUAUCCGGAUUUAUUGGGCGUAAAGCGAGCGCAGACGGUUGAUUAAGUCUGAUGUGAAAGCCCGGAGCUCAACUCCGGAAUGGCAUUGGAAACUGGUUAACUUGAGUGUUGUAGAGGUAAGUGGAACUCCAUGUGUAGCGGUGGAAUGCGUAGAUAUAUGGAAGAACACCAGUGGCGAAGGCGGCUUACUGGACAACAACUGACGUUGAGGCUCGAAAGUGUGGGUAGCAAACAGGAUUAGAUACCCUGGUAGUCCACACCGUAAACGAUGAAUACUAGGUGUUAGGAGGUUUCCGCCUCUUAGUGCCGAAGCUAACGCAUUAAGUAUUCCGCCUGGGGAGUACGACCGCAAGGUUG
rnacentral:rRNA from 1 species